rnacentral:lncRNA from 1 species
GAGGGAUCUUAUGGAAGGUGAAAUCAUAAACGUGACGUUGCAGAACAAUUACAACACAUAUAGUUUUGAUGGGAAGAAGAAGCUUGUGCUAUCGACAACAAGUUGGAUUGGUGGGAAGAAUGAUUUUUAAUACGUAUAGUUUUGAUGGGAAGAAGAAGCUCGUGCUAUCGACAACAAGCUGGAUUGGGGGAAAGAAUGAUUUUCUUGGCAUUGCUUAUCUUACAGUUGGUGGAUUGUGUUUCUUUUUGGCUUUGGCUUUUAUGAUUGUGUAUCUAGUUAAGCCAAGACAACUUGGAGAUCCAACUUAUUUGUCGUGGAAUCGGAAUCCAGGAGGUAACUAGCAUUCCAGAUGAGGCUGGUGGCUUGUCUUCUGGUAACUGUUUGUGUAAAAGUUGUUUUUUGAUGUGUUCUUGAUAUAGUUUUUAGACUCUUUUGCUAGGAAACAAUGGUAUGUAGUGAAGUAUAUUUCCUUUGAUAAGUGUUUAUUCAAAUUUACAUAUGUAUAAUGGAAGUUAUUGCUUAAAGGAGCAUAUGUAAUGAAGUAUAUUUCCUUUGAUAAGUGUUUAUUCAAAUUUACAUAUGUAUAAUGGAAGUUGUUGCUUAAAGGAGUUUGUUCAUUCAUGUCUUAAACUGGUUUGCAGGAUGUAAACUUUUUUGUGUCUUGUGAUAAUUGAAGGUGAGCCUUUGCUGCCAUGUGACCACGUGUUCGAGCCGUGAAAAUAGCCUCUUGCAAAAAUGCAGGGUAAGGCUGCAUACAAUAGACCCUUGUAGUCCGGCCUUCCCGAACAUCGUGUAUAGUGGGAGCUUAAUGUACCGGGCUACUCUUUAUAUAAGUUUCUUUUUGAAUGUUCUGCAUUCGAAGUACUGAGAUUCAUUUGCUAGCAAUCAAUGAUAUGUAAUGAAGUAUUCUUGCGUCUAGUGUUAACUAUCCGCAUACAAGUUUCUUAUUGAAAUGUUCUGCGUACAGUAUUAAGAUUCAUUUUCUAGCAAAGAAUGAUUAGUAAUGUAAUAUACCUCUGAUAUGUGUUUAUUUAAAUUUUAAGAGAAAAUAUAUUCUGAAAUAAGUUCACCAAUGGAAGUAAUUGCU